ACACUUGUGACGUCAACAUAUGUGUGGAAAUGGAUCCUGGCACAUAUGGUAUGCGCUCGGUUCUACCCCUGGAACCGGGUGUGACAUUGACCUCCUGCGCGUGUAUUUUUGUAUAUAAUACUGGGGGGAGUACAUGAUCUAUCAAGGAUAUCUGGAAAGGCAGAGACAUCACACACACACGACACAUGCAUGCAUUUUACUAGCAGCUAGCAGUACUCCGAGUCCACCCCAAGCUAGUCAAUGACAAACCAAACCUCCCCAAAUCUUUACACGUUUUAUGUUACUAGGAACCACAUGUUUUCUGUUAUAGUCUUGGAUUUGAUUUGACUAGAGACUAACCGGUGCUUUUCUUGCUCUGCCACCCAAAUUGUUCGUUCCCUCCCCCUCGCUAGCAGCUCACGCCCACCAAGUGACGACGAGAGGGAGACGGGACACGCACUUUCUGUUGCCGUGCUCUCACCAAACUUGCAACCACAAUAUAUAUAUAAGCCACCGGAUUGAUAAUAUGGAAAUGGGGAAUAAAUGAAAAGGUGCCAUGCAUCAUGCAUGGAUAUGCGAAUGAUAAUGCUUGCUAGCCGAAUGUUAGGUACGGGACAGGACUGAAGCUGAUCGAGCACUUGCAUACAGUAAUACCUAAACCUACUGUAAAGCAAAAUUGCCGAGAGAAGAAGCAGGCAAGCAGCAGUGUCAAACAACUGUAAGAAAGCAAAUAAAGCGACUAAAACAAUGCUGAUCCAUCCAUCGGCAUCAUCACGUAAAAGAAAAGAAAAGGCAGAGCCGUAAACGGUAAUUUAUUAUACACAUAAUAAAUAGCUAAUAAGCUACUCCUUCUUGUCCUAAGUUAAAAUUAAAUUCGUUUUAGUUAAUUAAUAGAUUCAUAUAAUACUUGAUGUUGAUCUAUGUGUUUUAUAUGCGUCUAGAUUCAUCUUCAUCUAUUUGAAUAUAGACAUAAAAAUCAAGAGCUAAAAUAACUACUAUUUUGGUAUUUUGGAAUGGAGGGAGUAAUAGACGACAAGUGAGCCUGGUGAGUUACCUGAAACAAACAAAGCCAGCAGAGCCAGAGGUCGCGGCUAUGGUAGUCUGACUGCCAUGCAUGUCACCGCGGGUGUGGGGGGCGCCCAGCAGCCACGUCGGACAGGAGCAGCCAGGGUGAAUCCGGCCUUUUCCAGGUGUCACCACUCAGCGUCCUCCGAACACAGGAGAGUCAUGCGAUGCGAGCUUGGCGAUAAGCUUAUCUAUCCGCACCGCGUCUUCCUUCCUCCUGGGCGACCGGCCCUUCUUCUCUCCACGUCUCUCCCCCCUUCUUUCUCCAGACCGAGCGUACGUAUGCUACACACAGCAACAGCACAACAGUACUAGUUCCACCACAAGAAGAUGCCCAAUGCCAAGAAAUAACCCAUGCUUCUUGUCGACGAUCCAGCCGCACUAGAGAUGGCCAAACGGGCCGGCCCGGCCCGGCCCGGCCCGGGCCCGGUGAAGCCCGGCCAAAACCGGGCCGGGCCUGCUGAGCCAGCGGGCUUAAGUUUCUGUCCAAGCCCGGCCCGCAGCGGGCCUAAACAGGCCGGGCCGGCCCGUUUAGCACGAAAAAACGGGCCAAAAAGCGGGCUAAACGGGCCGGUAAGCACGUUUUAGUGUAAAAAAAACGGGCUUAACGGGCUUAGAGGUAAACGGGCCGUGCCGGGCUAGCCCGCCGUGCCUAGUUUCCUGUCCAAGCCCGCCCGCUUAUUCUACCGUGCCGGGCUCGGACCGGGCCCAAAAAGCGGGCUUCGUGCCGGGCUCACGGGCCUCGUGCUUUUUGGCCAUCUAUGAGCCGCACACUUAGCAUACAUACGCAAGAAGAGGAGAGGCCGGAGGUGCGCGUGCUCCUUGCUGUUCUGCUGACUGGUCUCACCAUCUCAUCCCACCACCACCACCACCACCACCAUCUUUAGGAUAAGAUAGCAAAUAUAUGGCCAUCAUACUCGUACGAGCAGCGUCGCCGGGGCUCUCCGCCGCCGACAGCAUCAGCCACCAGGGGACUCUCCAGUGCUCCACCCUGCUCAAGACGAAGAGGCCGGCGGCGCGCCGGUGGAUGCCCUGCUCGCUCCUUGGCCUCCACCCGUGGGAGGCUGGCCGUCCCUCCCCCGCCGUCUACUCCAGCCUCGCCGUCAACCCGGCGGGAGAGGCCGUCGUCUCGUCCGAGCAGAAGGUCUACGACGUCGUGCUCAAGCAGGCCGCAUUGCUCAAACGCCAGCUGCGCACGCCGGUCCUCGACGCCAGGCCCCAGGACAUGGACAUGCCACGCAACGGGCUCAAGGAAGCCUACGACCGCUGCGGCGAGAUCUGUGAGGAGUAUGCCAAGACGUUUUACCUCGGUACGUACGGUAUAUAUAUGGGAUCCAUCUUCUUCUCCAAUUCCACAAUCUCAUCGUUUCAGUCUGCUUCCAUCACUCAUGCUACUAGUUCGUCGCAGGAACUAUGUUGAUGACAGAGGAGCGGCGCCGCGCCAUAUGGGCCAUCUAUGGUAUCUGUCUGUCUCAAAUACAAUAAUCACCAUGCAUGUAUCCCUCCAAUGUAUCAGUACCAUUGCUCAUACCUAGCUAGUAGCAUGUUACGUACGGAGUAUCAAUCAGUAAAUUUCAGAAUGGCUACUACUGGAACUGGAUGCGCUGUACUAGCUAGUAUGUUUCCCUACUUAAUAUAUAACGUAGAUACGCACUUCUGACUUAAUUAUGCUGCUGUGGCAAAAGGAUUUUUUUUUUUUACUUUAACAGCAGAUUCCAACAAUAACAGUGCAAAAUUGGGCUACUUUUCAAGUAAUGGUAACAACUAGCAGCUCCCAGUGGAAAUUAACAAUAUUGAAAAAAGAAACACUGCUGACUUCCAUGAAGGCCAUUCGUGAGUCAAUGGUGAAUAAAGGUUUAAUGCGCUUUAUGUUGUAUGUGGAAGCACCAAAAUAGGCUUUCGGUAGCCUAAAUUGCUACUAAAUGGCUUGAUCAAUACUUGAAGACCAUGUGGAAAGUUAUAAGAACAUAUUCUUUAUAGUUCAAACUACCCUUUAGGAAUAUGAAUCUCAAGUAUUGGCAAUUUUAAACGAACACUUCAGGCACGGUAUCUGACGGGUAUUGUUUCUGCAGUGUGGUGUAGGAGGACAGAUGAGCUUGUAGAUGGGCCAAACGCCAACUACAUUACACCAACAGCUUUGGACCGGUGGGAGAAGAGACUUGAGGAUCUGUUCACGGGACGUCCUUACGACAUGCUUGAUGCCGCUCUCUCUGAUACCAUCUCAAGGUUCCCCAUAGACAUUCAGGUACUGACUGCCUUACGGGCUGCUGUACCUAGCGGAUUCAUUCCACUGAUAUGACACUUUUGGACUGCAGUUAUUGAUAUUUCUAACCAGCAUUAGAUUCUCUAGCUAGGCCUCACUGUUUUUAGUGCAGGAUGACUAGACCUACUGAGUUGACAAGAAGCUAGCAGAAAUUGUUUUGUUUACUCAACUGAAUCUUAAGAUUUUUUCAACCUUUAGUCUCUUCUAGCAAUGCUUUUGUUUGGUUCAAUGAACCUUGCGCAUAUCGUAGUGGUCCUAGUCUAGUUAUAUGGACCAGGACCCAGGAGAGGUGUUUGGGUCAAAGCUGUUUCAAUGUAACUUUUUUUUAAAUAAAAAAUGAACUGUUUCUAGAGCUCAGCCCUCACAGCAAAACUUGGAGCGAGAGGCAAUAAUUUGAAUAUUACAUGGCCUUGGUAAUGUGAAUUAAUUAGUUGGUCUAUCCUUAGUUGGUCCGACCUUUUAAGAAACAAAAGGUAACUGUAUGACCAGCGCAGAAGAAAAUAGGAUCUAGAUGAUGAUUGAGAGAGAAACGUUUCAGGGGGAAAAAAUCCAAUCAAUUAAAAAUUAGACCUGGGAACAUUGGCAGAUCGAUCUAGAGGGUGGACAAGGUGGGCUGAUUUUGAUCCUGCUAAAUUAUAUAGAUAGUUUUGAUUUAUUUGCUACUUUUGAUUCUCAUACGUUGUAGAACUUAAAAUGUGAACUCAUUUGUUUAUUGAUUCUCAUAAGGUUGGACCACCUUAACUUUAAAUCCUAGAUUUGCCACUGGGAAGUGACCGAGAGAAAACUAUCUGUGCCACUUAGUGGUUUGAUAAACUAUGUUGUGAUACCAAGUUACCAACGUUUUGAAAUCAAUAAAUGUUGUGGCAGCCAUUCAGGGACAUGAUUGAAGGGAUGAGGAGUGAUCUUAGGAAGACAAGGUAUAACAACUUCGACGAGCUCUACAUGUACUGCUACUAUGUUGCUGGAACUGUCGGGUUAAUGAGCGUACCUGUGAUGGGCAUCGCAACCGAGUCUAAAGCAACAACUGAAAGCGUAUACAGUGCUGCCUUGGCUCUGGGAAUUGCGAACCAACUCACGAACAUACUCCGGGAUGUUGGAGAGGAGUAAGUAACAUAUAUAUUCUUCCUGCGACAGGCACGAACAUGCAUGUGUUCAAUAGCACAGAUGUGAUGAUAUGACUGUCACCAUGUCUUUUAGUGCUAGAAGAGGAAGGAUAUAUUUACCACAAGAUGAGCUUGCACAGGCAGGGCUCUCUGAUGAGGACAUCUUCAAAGGGGUCGUCACGAACCGGUGGAGAAACUU
rnacentral:lncRNA from 1 species